AGUACCAUUUAGCUGUCAAGGAGGAUAUAGUACCAUUUAGCUGUCAAGGAGGAUGUAGUACCAUUUAGCUGUCAAGGAGGAUGUAGUACCAUCUAGCUGUCAAGGAGGAUGUAGUACCAUUUAGCUGUCAAGGAGGAUAUAGUACCAUUUAGCUGUCAGGAAGGAUAUAGUACCAUUUAGAUGUCAAGGAAGGUGAAGGUGUCAGCAAGGUGCAUCACCCCCAGGACAGGUGUGUACAUUCAUGAAGGUCUGAGCCUUGAAGGUGUCAGCAAGGUGCAUCACCCCCAGGACAGGUGUGUACAUUCAUGAAGGUCUUAAUGUAUUACAGGCGUCCCUCACUGCAGGACUGGCUUACCUUGUUAAUAAAUGCUCGUAAAGUGAUCGGCCAUAUACAAAAAGCAUUAAAACACGGAUUAUAUUACUGGAUUUAACAAAAUUAAUUAAUGAAGUCCAUUUUAAAGUGAGCUCUAGUCCCCUGUGCAGGGUGUUGACCACAUGCUUGCAGCAGCACUGUGCAGCAUAACAGUCAUAUACUCACAUCACUGCACUGCACUGCACCAGUGAGUGAACCACCAGUCACAGGCAUUUUGAAUAAACAAUAGUAGAGGACGGGGGCGGAUACAGGGGGAGGGCCCAGGGGGUCCGGGCCCCAAAAAAAAUCUCCGCCCCCCCCCCAGAAAAUCUCGAGUGUAUGCGAAUAGUCGGUACAUAACUGACUCGCUUAUAAUGUGCUGCAACUGUAAUACGGAAUGUGUCGUCGGCUGUAGGCAUAUGCAGGCGCGGAUACGGGGGUGAGGAGCUAGGUGGCCCGGGCCCCCCCCC